rnacentral:rRNA from 1 species
AACCCCGGGAAACUGGGGAUAAUUCCGGAUACGCAUAUAUGCUGGAAUGCUUUAUGCGUAAAAUGGAUUCGUCUGCCCAAGGAUGGGUCUGCGGCCUAUCAGGUAGUAGUGGGUGUAAUGUACCUACUAGCCGACGACGGGUACGGGUUGUGAGAGCAAGAGCCCGGAGAUGGAUUCUGAGACAUGAAUCCAGGCCCUACGGGGCGCAGCAGGCGCGAAAACUUUACAAUGCUGGAAACCGUGAUAAGGGGACACCGAGUGCCAGCAUACAUAUGUUGGCUGUCCGGGUGUGUAAAAUACACUGGUUAGCAAGGGCCGGGCAAGACUGGUGCCAGCCGCCGCGGUAACACCGGCGGCUCGAGUGGUGAUCGUGAUUAUUGGGUCUAAAGGGUCCGUAGCCGGCCGGAUCAGUCUUUUGGGAAAUCCAACAGCUUAACUGUUGGGCUUUCAGGAGAUACUGUCUGGCUCGAGGCCGGGAGAGGUGAGAGGUACUUCAGGGGUAGGAGUGAAAUCUUGUAAUCCUUGAAGGACCACCAGUGGCGAAGGCGUCUUACCAGAACGGGUUCGACGGUGAGGGACGAAAGCUGGGGGCACGAACCGGAUUAGAUACCCGGGUAGUCCCAGCCGUAAACGAUGCUCGCUAGGUGUCAGGCAUGGCGCGACCGUGUCUGGUGCCGCAGGGAAGCCGUGAAGCGAGCCACCUGGGAAGUACGGCCGCAAGGCUGAAACUUAAAGGAAUUGGCGGG